AGUGAACGCUGGCGGUAGGCCUAACACAUGCAAGUCGAACGGCAGCACAGGAGAGCUUGCUCUCUGGGUGGCGUGUGGCGGACGGGUGAGGAAUACAUCGGAAUCUACUCUGUCGUGGGGGAUAACGUAGGGUAACUUACGCUAAUACCGCAUACGACCUACGGGUGAAAGCAGGGGACCUUCGGGCCUUGCGCGAUUGAAUGAGCUGAUGUCGGAUUAGCUAGUUGGCGGGGUAAAGGCCCACCAAGGCGAUGAUCCGUAGCUGGUCUGAGGGGAUGAUCAGCCACACAGGAACUGAGACACGGUACAUACUCCUACGUGAGGCAGCAGUGGGGAAUAUUGGACAAUGGGCGCAAGCCUAAUCCAGCCAUACCGCGUGGGUGAAGAAGGCCUUCGGGUUGUAAAGCCCUUUUGUUGGGAAAGAAAUCCAGCUGGCUAAUACCCGGUUGGGAUGACGGUACCCAAAGAAUAAGCACCGGCUAACUUCGUGCCAGCCGCCGCGGUAA
rnacentral:rRNA from 1 species